AAAAAUGAAAUCAAUGUUUGAUGUUUCAUUUACAAUGAAAAUUUGUAUUAAUACCAUUUUUU
rnacentral:tRNA from 1 species